UCCCUAGUGGCACAGUGGUUGGGACUCUGUGCUCCUAACGCAGGGGGCCCAGGUUCGAUCCCUGGCCAGGGAA